UCUCCAAAAUAGGGGACUUUCCCCUUCUACACUCCCUUCCUCUCUAUCACAACAACAAAGGGCUAGCGACUGGUCAUCCACGGUGACAUUUGGUGGUGGUGACCAUGAUAAUCUCAACCACAGCUAUGGCUACCAGUGGUUGGUGAAACAAAAGUAAGGGAGAGGAAGCAUGAAAUAGGAGAAAUCAUGUUCGUGCAAAAGCCGAUAGCUCGUUAGACCAAAUCUGAGCGAUGAUGGCAGCAUAAACUUAGUAAAAAGAAAGGGAAAAGAUCUAG
rnacentral:lncRNA from 1 species